ACUAAAAACCUAAAUUCUAAUCAAAACCACGGCAAAAGCAAAACCAUGGGCAACAUAUACGACCAUUCCUCUCUCUCCUCAGAAACCCUCUCUCUCCAAAAAUCAAAACCUUCUCCUUCCCCCAAAAAUCCAAAAUCAAAAUCCAAAACUUAGGAUGAGAAAGAAGGAAAAGCCGAUCGGAAACCAAGGAAAGGAAACUGGUACAAUGAUGAAGAAGCCAGAAUUCUUGACGGCUUGCAAGGCUGACCAGCGGUUGCACUUCAAAUCCAAGGAUUGUAUUAGUGGAAAUUCAAUUUCAUUCCAGCCAAGCUAAAUAAGGUUGCUGUAAUGUUAGCUAAUUGUGCAAGGUGAGUUAUCUUCAUUUUCAUGAUUUCUAUUUUCAGUACAUUAUUACAACAUUAUGUUCAAAAUACUAAAUUCCUUGAUGUGAGACUAGCAACUUUCCAUAUGAAAUUCAAGGAAUCUUAGAAAUUUUAAAUUAACAUAAAACAUGUAGCUCAAAGAAGAUGUUCAAAUUUAUGUUCCAUCCCAUCUCUCUCUUUUUGUGUUAUUCAUGUUCAAAAUCCUAAAUUCCUUGAUGUGAGACUAGCAUCUUUUCAUAUGAAAUUCAAGGAAUCUUAGAAAUUUUAAAUUAACAUAGAACAUGUAGCUCAAAGAAGAUGUUCAAAUUUAUGUUCCAUCCCAUCCCUCUCUUUUUGUGUUAUUGCUUUGGUAUUUAAUAAUAAUAAUGAUUUUUGUUUGGUCAGUGAGAAAUUGUAGGAUUCAAAUUAUAGAUAAUUUUGGGUUUUUAUUUAGUGUGUUUGGGAUUCAAGAAUCUUUAUAUAGCUAUUUUAUUUGUUUUAUCAGUUGGUUGGUUUCAACUUUGAUUCAUGGUUAUUUUGUUCUUGACUUUCCAUCUUCUGGGUAUUAAAUUUUCAAAUUUCUUUUAUUGAUAUGGAUUGCAAUGACUCCUUCCAUUGGAUUUCCAGAUCAUCCACACAGAGGUUCUAUCCUCAUUGUUGUUUUUGAUAUUAUGUGCAUUCAUUAAUCGUGGAUCAUUUUGUAUAAUUAAUUAGGUAUAUUCUGAUGUGAUUUAUGUUUUACAGGUCUUAAGACUGUCAGUUACAGGCAUAUAAGUUGCACUUUUGGGAGAUCUAGGGUACCAUGGAAAAGAAAGAACACUGCCGGGGGCCUGAAAACAACUUUAUGUUGCUCUAACUUUAUGUUACAUCAUACAAAGAUACAAUUGUAUACAAUAAUGAAGAUUUCCAGCCAUGAGAAGUGGGAGCAUAUAAGCAUAAACAAAUUAUUUUUGUAUUUAUUUGUAUGUAAGUUUUUGAUAUUAUAUUAUUGCAAUUUUAAUGUGGAAAUUGUUAUU